CACUAACUGAUUAGAGGAACUUACUUGAGAGACCAAGUAUGAGUGAACAGACAGUUCAUUAUAUCUGAUCAUCAUCAGAAUAAAAAUAAAAUGGUGGUGUGACAUAAAAGUUACCAUGCAUUAGUGAUCUGAGUAAACAGUUGCUGUUUGAUGUUAGAAAAGCUAGGGCAUGAAGGAUACAUACAUCAAAAUAUAUUCUAAUGAUGGGAGCCUACUUCAAAACUGAAAUGGAUUUGAAAAAUAAUUUGCAUAAUGCAUCUGCCCCGCUGCUCUAAGAGUGUUUAUAUCCCUGUGAGUUUAACACUUCAUGACUGAGAGCUGUCCUUCAUGACAACAGAACCCACAACAACCAUGACUUUUAUCACCAUCUUCAUCUGGACACUUGCUUUCUGCUUUCAAGAAUCCAGAGGACAGAUCACUGUGACUCAGACUCCUGCAGUGGAAACUGUUGUCCCAGAACAGACAGUCUCUCUGAACUGUAAAGCCAGCAGUGAUGUGUAUCAAGCAGGGACCUCUUCUCCCCGUCUAGCCUGGUAUCAACAGAAACCUGGAGAAACUCCUAAAGCACUGGUCUACUAUGGAAGCACCCUCUUCUCUGGGACUCCAUCUAUAUUCAGUGGCAGUGGAUCUGGGAGUGACUUCACUCUGACCAUCAGUGGAGUCCAGGCUGAAGAUGCAGGAGAUUACGACUGUCAGAGUGUACACACUGGUAAUGUGUUCACACAAUGAUACAGAGCCGUACAAAAACCUCCCUCAGUCAGUCUGCAUCGUGAUUAUACUGCUACAGCUGGGACCUACUGUAGGUGCUGAGGGGGAAGAGACAGUGACAUGGAACACUGAUCAGUAAGACUUAUAAAAGUUAAAUGAAGUUUUAAAACACACAAUACCUGUCUCUAUGCAGAGUCAGAUUUACAGAAGUAAACAAUAAAUAAAGGUGGUGUUACAUCAGCUUCAGCCUCCCUAAAUCAAAUCCCCAUAUGUACCUCACAACCAAAUAUAGAUGUGAUCAUCUAGCAUCAUAUUAACUGUUUUGGUGAUCAGGUUACU